rnacentral:misc_RNA from 1 species
GAUGAAGAACGUAGCGAAAUGCGAUAAGUAGUGUGAAUUGCAGAAUUCAGUGAAUCAUCGAAUCUCUGAACGCACAUUGCGCCCCUUGGUAUUCCAUGGGGCAUGCCUGUUCGAGCGUCAUUUGUACCUUCAAGCCUUGCUUGGUGUUGGGUGUUUGUCUCGCCUCUGCGCGCAGACUCGCCUCAAAACAAUUGGCAGCCGGCGUAUUGAUUUCGGAGCGCAGUACAUCUCGCGCUUUGCACUCAGAACGACGACGUCCAAAAGUACAUUUUUACACUCUUGACCUCGGAUCAGGUAGGGACACCCGCUGAACUUAAGCAUAUCAAUAAGCGGAGGA